CCUUUUCUUCUUCCUCUUCUCAU
rnacentral:sRNA from 1 species